rnacentral:rRNA from 1 species
CCUACGGGUGGCAGCAGUAGGGAAUUUUCGUCAAUGGGGGAAACCCUGAACGAGCAAUGCCGCGUGAGUGAAGAAGGUCUUCGGAUCGUAAAGCUCUGUUGUAAGUGAAGAACGGCUCAUAGAGGAAAUGCUAUGGGAGUGACGGUAGCUUACCAGAAAGCCACGGCUAACUACGUGCCAGCAGCCGCGGUAAUACGUAGGUGGCAAGCGUUAUCCGGAAUCAUUGGGCGUAAAGGGUGCGUAGGUGGCGUACUAAGUCUGUAGUAAAAGGCAAUGGCUCAACCAUUGUAAGCUAUGGAAACUGGUAUGCUGGAGUGCAGAAGAGGGCGAUGGAAUUCCAUGUGUAGCGGUAAAAUGCGUAGAUAUAUGGAGGAACACCAGUGGCGAAGGCGGUCGCCUGGUCUGUAACUGACACUGAGGCACGAAAGCGUGGGGAGCAAAUAGGAUUAGAUACCCGGGUAGUC